rnacentral:rRNA from 1 species
UACGUAGGGUGCAAGCGUUGUCCGGAUUGACUGGGCGUAAAGCGCACGCAGGCGGAUGCGCGCGUGGGGUGUGAAAUCUGGCCGCUUAACGGCCAGGCGCCAUCCCAUACGGCGCGUCUGGAGCUAUGCAGAGGUCGGUGGAAUUGCCGGUGUAGUGGUGAAAUGCGUAGAGAUCGGCAGGAACACCCAGGGGGAAACCAGCCGACUGGGCAUAUGCUGACGCUGAGGUGCGAGAGCGUGGGGAGCGAACCGG